UACUAUAGUUACAUUUAGGAUUAAACUAGCAUUUAUUACUUAAUACUCAGUAAAUAGGUCAAGUUUGAAUAUUAAACUUUUUCGCUAUAGCUAGCUAGACUAAGCAUGAAAGGAGCUGGGUUAAAAGUCAAAACUUAAAGAGGAAAAUUACAUCACAUUUUUUAAGAUUAUACUACACAUAUUUGAGAACACCUGAAAAAUGCAUUGUUCAUCAAGUUACCCCAUAUGGCUAAUAUGGAAGAUUUCUUCAUAAAAAGCAUCAAAACUUUUUUCAUGUGGAUUACUUUUACAUUAACAAAAAUUUAAAAUUUGAAGAUAAACUUUUGCGAUUUUGUCAUUCAUUAGUUUUCAAAUUUCUCGCUGGAAAUUUUUAAGGUUUAAAACCCAUGUCUCACAGUAACUUUUUCGUUCUUAUCCUAAUGUUAAUACAUGAGUUGUGCAACAACUUUUGCAGGAAAAUAAAAACACAUCAAGAGAAAAAGUUUGUUAUUAAAAUAUUAUAAACUAGUUGUUAGCCCGUGGAAAUCCACGGUUCGCCCAUCCUUUUUAUACUGCAUUGCGUGCUUCUUGCUAUUGCACAGCUAAGCUACCAUUUUGCGUGACAGACAGAUGUAUACGGGUAUUAUAAUAUAGAUUAAUUUCAAACCGAUUAGUCCCUGCAGUCAUUUUGGUGUCAGCGGUAUAAAAAACUAUGCAACUAUACUAAGUAAAAGUCCUAUUACUUCAGUAAAAAUGAAAAAGAUAUUAUACCCUUAAUGCUAUAAGUGCUCCACUGGAUUUGUAACACAUUACACUAAGUGUCCUCCAUGUGAAACAGUUUACGCUUUACUAAGUCUUAACCUGAAGACUUUAGGUCUUCCCACUUCAAGUGAAUAUUACUUCUGGCUAUACUUUCCCAAAUUUUGUUAUUUCAUAAAAGAAAACUGAAAAUCUACAAAAUUAUUUAUAUAUAUGUGCAGAAAUUUAUUUAUGAAAUAUAGGUUUCAGUUUGUUGUGGAAACAUGUUUACCAACAUGCAAUGUCUUGCAUACCUAACUAGCUAUAUACUCAAGUCUUGAAUGUUCACUGUUAUGGGAGGUCCAAAUAACUACCUAGCUUUUUUUUAUUUAAAAUGACAGAAUGCCUUAAAAAAUCUUUUGUGCAGCUAGCUACAUUAAAGCAAUAUAUUUAGCUUUUGUACUUUAUCACUUAAUUAUUUAAUAACAAAUGCGCCCUGGAGUGCUGGCAUGGUACUGGCUAGGUAGCUUAAAAUCACAAAAUAAAUAUUAUCCAGAUGUGACCAUCCUCAUCAUCAGACAUCGGAACAGCGUUUUUGUUCUUUACUUCUCAUUGUAGGGUACCUCAAAUUCUUGUAAAUCCAAUUAACAAAAAUUACUUAAGAAUUCCUCUUCUUGUAUAUUUGCAGCUUAUUGACACCCUCUUAUUUUAGAAUAUUCUCAGAAAUAAUAGACCAAAAGAAAUUACAUCACAGUUUCUUGUCCACCGCCCACGUGUGUUUGAGAACAACCCACACAAAAAAAUUGUGUGCAAUGGGAGUGAGUGAUGUAAUCUUUCAAUGCGUGUGAUGAAAAGAAAGCGAAACCGUUAUUGUUUUUUCUGCCAAAAAUUUAUUUAAUAAAUCUUGAUAAAGUUAAAAAACUGUUUUGA